rfam:Moniliophthora roreri MCA 2997 sctg_0221_0001, whole genome shotgun sequence.
GGCGGCAGUACUAUCCACAAACUAACAAUCCCCUCGCCUUUUACUAGGGGAUUCCGUGGGGGUAGUACACGUUACGCCGCUUUCACAAUCUUUGGGCCUUCAUCUCCUCGCGAGAUAC